AUGAGGAAGGCGCCCGCGGCGGCCGCCAAGCCCAAGCCGAGGGCGAGGGGGAAGGCCAAGCCCAAGCCCAAGCCCAGCCCUGACUCCCUCUCCGCCGCCUCCUCGCCUUCCAGCGCCAGCGCCGGGUCUCCCUCUCCCGUCGCGCUCGGCCGCGGCCUCCCCUCCGCCUCCAAGCCCAAGCCCAGGGCGAGCGCGAGGGUGAGGGCCAAGCCCAAGGGGAAGGCCAGCCCCGACUCCCUCUCCGGCGCCUCCUCGCCGUCCGACGCCAGAGCCGGGUCCCCCUCCCCCUCUCCCGUCGCAGUCGGCCGCGGCGGCUUCCUCUCGCCCGCCUCGCUGGCGACGCCCAAGGCCAGAUCCCCCCUCACCGCGGCGGCCACGUCCACGCCGGCCUCCGUGUCCUCCGUCGGCGACCUCAGGAGCCUCGCCGCCUCCAGCCUCGCCGCGCUCAAGCGCCGCCUCGACGCGCUCCACGCCGACAACGCCCGUGACCUCGAGGCCUCCCACUCGCGGAUCUCCAAGCGCAUCAAGAUGCAGACGCAGAGCUGCGUGCAGAUGUCGGAGGAGGUGGACAAGGAGCAUAAGAAGAUGCUCGACAAGUACUCCCAGCAGGCCGAGGAGAUGAAGGCAUCGUACAAGAAGUUGAUGACAGAUGUGCAGUCGUCUUCGGCUCGUGUGUGCAAGGUGACCUUACCUGAGAUGGGAAAGUCCGUGGCCAGAGCUAUCGAUGGCUUGCGCACUCGCUACAACAUCCCAGCUACAACAGCUUAG
rnacentral:rRNA from 1 species